rnacentral:rRNA from 1 species
UACGAACCGUACAAACGUUAUUCGGAAUCACUGGGCUUAAAGGGUGCGUAGGCGGCCAUGUAAGUGAGGUGUGAAAUCCCUCGGCUCAACUGAGGAACUGCACGGGAAACUGCCUGGCUUGAGUUCGGGAGAGGGAAGCGGAAUUCCGGGUGUAGCGGUGAAAUGCGUAGAUAUCAGGAGGAACACCAAUUGCGAAGGCAGCUCGCUGGGACGUUACUGACGCUGAGACGCGAAAGCGUGGGGAGCAAACAGG